GGUUAGGCAUUUUCUCUUUAUUGAAGCACUGCAACAUGAAGGGCAGCCUUGGCGCCUGGCGCAACAGUAAAGUUGCUGCCAUGUGACCUUGGGUUCGAGUGAGUCGCAGAAAUAGCCUCUUGCAAAAUGCAAGGAGCUUCGUGCACCGGGCUACCCUUUGAAGCACUGCAACAAUUGUUGGUAUCCCAGAUUUAAAUUGUUUUCUUUAUUGAAGCUUUAAGUAGGAUUGGUUGUGCCUUAAACUGAUUGAAUCAUUUGUAUUUUGGUUUGCCUAGUUUCUCAUUUAUUUUUAUCCAAAUCGCUUCAUUUGCAUAUAUAUAUAUAUAUAUAUAUAUAUAAUAUAGAUUGUCUGGAUUGAUCAGUUUGGGGCAUGCCAAGCUUGAGGCUUGCUUGAAUCUCAAGCAUCUCUCGCUUGAAAUUAGGCAUAUAAUCUGUUAUCAAUAUGAUGCAAUGUAUUUAUCCUGAUAAGAAUUUUUUUUGCCAUUGUUAAUGUGUAUCCUUCCAUUUGUGCUCUAAUUUAGUUUUAUAACUUUCCCAAACUUAAUUGUCUCGAUCUGCCACUACAAGAGACUCAGUUGGACAUGAGUUACUUGAAUAGGAAAACUGAAAAUAUUCAUCCUUUAGAAAAUGGCAAACCUGCAGGUUAUUUUUGUUUUUUGUGUGUUUCUAUGGAACUAAGUGUCACCUUUAUGGGCAAUAUCUUUGUGGUUUCUUUUCACUGAUCCCUAGAUUACUACUGGCACACUCCUAAAUAUAUAAGUGUGCAUGUAUGUUGAUUUUGUGUUCGAAGGAAUAGAUCUGACUUUAAUUAAGCACUAUGAAUCCUUUGUGGCAACCA